rnacentral:lncRNA from 1 species
GCGCCGUCACGAGAUCGAAGAUGGUAGAACCCAUCUUUGUUCGCCAAAGGAGCAAAGUAAUAAGAAUAUAAUAUCUCUUGCACCCCGAUGGAAAAUCCAUGGAGUUCUCCGAAUACUUGUAGAGCCAUUAAAGUCCUCCAGGUUAGGGGAGUAAGUUGAGAAGGACUGAAACCAAAGAAAGAUGACACUUCGCCUAUAAGAGAAGGAAUAGCACCCCGGAAACCUGCUUCCAGGUAUGCUUCAUAGACAGCCACCUCACCCG